rnacentral:rRNA from 1 species
AUAUUGCGCAAUGGGGGAAACCCUGACGCAGCGACGCCGCGUGAACGAUGAAGGCCUUCGGGUCGUAAAGUUCUGUCCUCAGGGAAGAAUAACUGACGGUACCUGAGGAGGAAGCCCCGGCUAACUACGUGCCAGCAGCCGCGGUAAUACGUAGGGGGCAAGCGUUGUCCGGAAUUAUUGGGCGUAAAGGGUGCGUAGGCGGCCAAUUAAGUCUGAUGUGAAAGACCACAGCUUAACUGUGGGGUUGCAUUUGAAACUGGUUGGCUUGAGUGUCGGAGAGGGUAGUGGAAUUCCAUGUGUAGCGGUGAAAUGCGUAGAGAUAUGGAGGAACACCAGUGGCGAAGGCGACUCUCUGGUCUGCAACUGACGCUGAGGCGCGAAAGCGUGGGGAGCGAACA